rnacentral:rRNA from 1 species
GACGAACGCUGGCGGCGUGCUUAACACAUGCAAGUCGAACGGACGAGUGAGAUAAGUUUACUUAACUCACAAGUUAGUGGCGGACGGGUGAGUAACACGUGGAUAAUCUACCUGCAACACCGGGAUAACGCUGUGAAAACGGUGCUAAUACCGGAUACGUUCCCUUGUGCGCAUGUAUGAGGGAAGAAAGCUCAGGCGGUUGCAGAUGAGUCCGCGGCUGAUUAGCUAGUUGGUGAGGUAAAGGCUCACCAAGGCGAUGAUCAGUAGCCGGCCUGAGAGGGUGAACGGCCACACUGGGACUGAGACACGGCCCAGACUCCUACGGGAGGCAGCAGUGGGGAAUCUUCCGCAAUGGGCGCAAGCCUGACGGAGCAACGCCGCGUGGGUGAAGAAGGCCUUCGGGUUGUAAAGCCUGUCUUAUGGAGAAGUCAGUGACGGUACCAUAGGAGGAAGCCACGGCUAACUAACGUGCCAGCAGCGCCGGUAAUGAGU